GGGACGGUAGCUUAAUCCGGGAAAGCACUAGACUGAAGAUCUAGUGAUUGAGGGUUCAAAUCCCUCUCGUCCCA
rnacentral:tRNA from 1 species